GUGGGUCUCCCUUCCAUUUCUAGGGUUUGAUUUCUCUCUGGUUUUUUUUUUUACUAUUUUAUCAUUCCUAAAUCUCCAUAUCAUCAAUGUCUUUGAAAUCUAUUAAUCCAUCAUUCACACCGUAAUACUAUAUAGUUUUGAAAACCAGUCAACCAAUACAAACAACAUAUUACUGUACUGUUCAUAAUCUGCAUAUUUUUCUCCUAUUUUCUUUCUUAUUUUGCAAAUUUUUUCUGGGUUUUGAUCUAAUUUUAUUG
rnacentral:lncRNA from 1 species